GUCCGUAAAGGUGGAUGAGUGGUGUUUGGUUUGUUACGUGUGGUUGGCUGCGGCGUUUGCAACAACUUCCAUGCUUUCAGACCUCUUCAGUUGUGCGGCAAGGCUUGUAUCGCCUUGAGCGUAUCGUGGGUUUUCUGUGUUGGCUACCUAAUCGACGGUAUCGGUUGGAUUGAUCAAAGUUUGAUUUCGUCUUCCGUCGCAUUCGCGGCGUGAGGUGAACCUYGAUGCGGUCUCUUUGAUCCACCUCGUCGGAGCACAUGCUUUGACGUUGURGCGCAUUGAGCAUUGCUUGGUCUCUUGUAUACGGAACAUAUAGUGGGCAUGGAUCUAACGAUUCUCGUUUGCCCUCAUAUUAGCGUAACGCUUCUCUUACACGACUUGCUCCACGUUUUAGCUCGUACGGACGUGGUGCUAUGUCGAAGAGGAAUGCUACCUGGUUGAUCCUGCCAGUAGUCAUAUGCUUGUCUCAAAGAUUAAGCCAUG
rnacentral:misc_RNA from 1 species